GAACAAGCUACAUAGAGUACGAGGUGAAUGCCUAGGCGCUCUUGGCCGAUGAAGGACGCGGAGACCGGCGAAACGUUCAGGGGGAGCUGCAUGCAAGCGAUGAGCCCUGAGAAUCCGAAUGGGGCAACCCCUCCAGAGUGAUGUCUGGAGACCUGCUGGUGAACACAUAGCCUGCAGGGGGGCAGCGGGUGAACUGAAACAUCUCAGUAGCCCGACGAGAAGAAAUCAAUUGAGAUUCCCGGAGUAGUGGCGAGCGAAACGGGAGGAGCCCAAACCAUCUGAUCGUUUGAUCGGGUGGGGUUGUAGGACCCACAACACGAAUGGAUCGACGACCUGAAUGUGCUGGAAAGCACAACCAGAGCGGGUGAUAGUCCUGUAAGGCAUGAUGAUGCAUUCCGGUGGGUAUCCUGAGUACCACGAGACACGAGAAACCUUGUGGGAAGCUGGGGGGACCACCCUCCAAGGCUCAAUACCAAGAGCGACCGAUAGUGAACCAGUACCGUGAGGGAAAGGUGAAAAGCACCCCGAGAGGGGGAUGAAAGAGAUCCUGAAACCACGUACUCACCAGCAGUCAGAGGCCACUCCUGCACGAGCAGGUCAGGGCUGAUGGCGUGCCUUUUGUAGAAUGAUCCGGCGAGUGCAUCGACGUUGCGGGUUAAGGAGCGGCAAAGCUCUGGAGCCUGAGGGAAACCGAGUCUGAAGAGGGCGAGCGUUGGUUUGCAAGAACCACACGUAGCGGCGAUGCGACCCGAAACCAUGUGAGCUAUCCAUGACCAGAGUGAAGCGGAUGUGAAAGUCCGUCGAGGCUCGAACCCACCAGUGUUGCAAAACUGGGGGAUGAGCUGUGGAUAGAGGAGAAAUUCCAACCGAACGUGGAGAUAGCUGGUUCUCCCCGAAAUGCAUUGAGGUGCAGCCACCCUCAUUAAGAUCUGUUGGAGGUAGAGCGCUGGAUGGGCUAGGGGCCAAGUGCUGGUUACCAACCCCACUCAAACUGCGAAUGCCAACAGACCAAAGGGUGAGUGAGACGGCGGGGGCUAAGCUUCGUCGUCGAAAGGGAAACAGCCCAGACCACCAGCUAAGGUCUCUAAAUCGAUGCUCAGUGUCAAAGGUAGUCAGGACGCAGUGACAGCCAGGAUGUUGGCUUAGAAGCAGCCAUCAUUGAAAGAUCCCUGGCGUGAAACCAGGGAUGGUAGGGGAGCGUUCUUGUCGCAGAGAAGCCAGAUCGUGAGGACUGGUGGAGUGACAAGAAGUGAGAAUGCCGGAAUGAGUAGCGUAAUGCGUGUAUGAACCACGCACACCGGAAGCCUGAGGGUUCCUGGGCAACGUCAGACGACCCAGGGUCAGUCGGGUCCUAAGCCGAGGACGUCAGAGUCGUAGGCGAUGGAAAGCAGGUAGAAAGUCCUGCACCGGAGCAGAUCACAAUGAGUGAUGAGGGGACGCGGUAAGGAAGGUGAGCCCAUCGAAUGGACAGGAUGGGUGUGCCGCACGAAGUGCGUGACCGAGGCAAAUCCCGGUUGCAUGAGCAUGACGACGGUACCCAGCGGGCGUAAGCUCGCGGAAGUCAUCGACCCCUAUGCUGCCAAGAAAAGCCUCUAACCAGAUCUCGCUCUGCCCGUACCGCAAACCGACACCGGUAGGCUGGGGGAACUCCCCCAAGGUGAACGAGCGAACCUCUGUCAAGGAACUCGGCAAAUUGACCCCGUACCUUCGGAAGAAGGGGUGCCCUAGUAACGUGACCGAUAUGGAAGCGUGAGGGGGCCGCAGUAAAUCGGCUCAAGCGACUGUUUACCAAAAACACAGGUCUCUGCGAACACGCAAGUGGAAGUAUAGGGGCUGACUCCUGCCCAGUGCCGGAAGGUCAAGAGGAGUGGUGCACGUAGCCACGAAUCUAAGCCCCGGUGAACGGCGGCCGUAACUAUAACGGUCCUAAGGUAGCGAAAUUCCUUGUCGGGUAAGUUCCGACCCGCACGAAAGGAGUAACGACUUGAGCGCUGUCUCGACAGGGGGCUCGGCGAAAUUGAAGUACCCGUGAAGAUACGGGUUUCCCACGACAGGACAAAAAGACCCCGUGGAGCUUUACUACACCCUGGCCUUGAGAUGAGGCAGACGUUACGUAGCAUAGGUGGGAGCCUGGGAAGUCACCCUUGUGGGGGUGAUGGAGGCAAGCAUGAAAUACCACUUUUCGUAUGGUUUGUCUCUCAUGGCUGACCAUGAACUGGCAGACAGACAGGACCAGGCGGGUAGUUUGACUGGGGCGGUCGCCUCCUAAAGAGUAACGGAGGCGCUCAAAGGUUCUCUCAGGGUGGAUGGACAUCACCCUUACAGAGUGUAAAGGCACAAGAGAGCUUGACUGCGAGGCAAACAGGCCGAGCAGGGACGAAAGUCGGACUUAGUGAUCCCACAUUCCCGAGUGGAAGGAGUGUGGCUCAACGGAUAAAAGCUACCCCGGGGAUAACAGGCUUAUCUUGCCCAAGAGUUCACAUCGACGGCAAGGUUUGGCACCUCGAUGUCGGCUCGUCGCAUCCUGGGGCUGGAGUUGGUCCCAAGGGUUGGGCUGUUCGCCCAUUAAA
rnacentral:rRNA from 1 species